GGCUCAGAUUGAACGCUGGCGGCAGGCCUAACACAUGCAAGUCGAACGGUAACAGGAAGCAGCUUGCUGCUUCGCUGACGAGUGGCGGACGGGUGAGUAAUGUCUGGGAAACUGCCUGAUGGAGGGGGAUAACUACUGGAAACGGUGGCUAAUACCGCAUAACGUCGCAAGACCAAAGAGGGGGACCUUCGGGCCUCUUGCCAUCAGAUGUGCCCAGAUGGGAUUAGCUUGUUGGUGAGGUAACGGCUCACCAAGGCGACGAUCCCUAGCUGGUCUGAGAGGAUGACCAGCCACACUGGAACUGAGACACGGUCCAGACUCCUACGGGAGGCAGCAGUGGGGAAUAUUGCACAAUGGGCGCAAGCCUGAUGCAGCCAUGCCGCGUGUAUGAAGAAGGCCUUCGGGUUGUAAAGUACUUUCAGCGGGGGGGAAGGUGUUGUGGUUAAUAACCGCAGCAAUUGACGUUACCCGCAGAAGAAGCACCGGCUAACUCCGUGCCAGCAGCCGCGGUAAUACGGAGGGUGCAAGCGUUAAUCGGAAUUACUGGGCGUAAAGCGCACGCAGGCGGUCUGUCAAGUCGGAUGUGAAAUCCCCGGGCUCAACCUGGGAACUGCAUUCGAAACUGGCAGGCUUGAGUCUUGUAGAGGGGGGUAGAAUUCCAGGUGUAGCGGUGAAAUGCGUAGAGAUCUGGAGGAAUACCGGUGGCGAAGGCGGCCCCCUGGACAAAGACUGACGCUCAGGUGCGAAAGCGUGGGGAGCCAACAGGAUUAGAUACCCUGGUAGUCCACGCCGUAAACGAUGUCUACUUGGAGGUUGUGCCCUUGAGGCGUGGCUUCCGGAGCUAACGCGUUAAGUAGACCGCCUGGGGAGUACGGCCGCAAGGUUAAAACUCAAAUGAAUUGACGGGGGCCCGCACAAGCGGUGGAGCAUGUGGUUUAAUUCGAUGCAACGCGAAGAACCUUACCUGGUCUUGACAUCCACAGAAGAAUCCAGAGAUGGAUUUGUGCCUUCGGGAACUGUGAGACAGGUGCUGCAUGGCUGUCGUCAGCUCGUGUUGUGAAAUGUUGGGUUAAGUCCCGCAACGAGCGCAACCCUUAUCCUUUGUUGCCAGCGAUUAGGUCGGGAACUCAAAGGAGACUGCCAGUGAUAAACUGGAGGAAGGUGGGGAUGACGUCAAGUCAUCAUGGCCCUUACGACCAGGGCUACACACGUGCUACAAUGGCGCAUACAAAGAGAAGCGACCUCGCGAGAGCAAGCGGACCUCAUAAAGUGCGUCGUAGUCCGGAUUGGAGUCUGCAACUCGACUCCAUGAAGUCGGAAUCGCUAGUAAUCGUGGAUCAGAAUGCCACGGUGAAUACGUUCCCGGGCCUUGUACACACCGCCCGUCACACCAUGGGAGUGGGUUGCAAAAGAAGUAGGUAGCUUAACCUUCGGGAGGGCGCUUACCACUUUGUGAUUCAUGACUGGGGUGAAGUCGUAACAAGGU
rnacentral:rRNA from 1 species